AACGAACGCUGGCGGCAUGCCUAACACAUGCAAGUCGAACGAGACCUUCGGGUCUAGUGGCGCACGGGUGCGUAACGCGUGGGAACCUGCCCUUAGGUUCGGAAUAACUCCCCGAAAGGGGUGCUAAUACCGGAUAAUGUCUUCGGACCAAAGAUUUAUCGCCUUUGGAUGGGCCCGCGUUGGAUUAGCUAGUUGGUAGGGUAAAAGCCUACCAAGGCGACGAUCCAUAGCUGGUCUGAGAGGAUGAUCAGCCACACUGGGACUGAGACACGGCCCAGACUCCUACGGGAGGCAGCAGUGGGGAAUAUUGGACAAUGGGCGAAAGCCUGAUCCAGCAAUGCCGCGUGAGUGAUGAAGGCCUUAGGGUUGUAAAGCUCUUUUACCCGGGAUAAUAAUGGCAGUACCGGGAGAAUAAGCUCCGGCUAACUCCGUG
rnacentral:rRNA from 1 species